rnacentral:rRNA from 1 species
UACGAAGGGGGCUAGCGUUGUUCGGAUUUACUGGGCGUAAAGCGCACGUAGGCGGAUCGUUAAGUCAGGGGUGAAAUCCUGGAGCUCAACUCCAGAACUGCCUUUGAUACUGGCGAUCUCGAGUCCGGGAGAGGUGAGUGGAACUGCGAGUGUAGAGGUGAAAUUCGUAGAUAUUCGCAAGAACACCAGUGGCGAAGGCGGCUCACUGGCCCGGUACUGACGCUGAGGUGCGAAAGCGUGGGGAGCAAACAGG